AACAAACGCUGGCGGCGUGCCUAAGACAUGCAAGUCGAACGAGGAAAGCUUUCGGGUGAGUACUAGUGGCGCACGGGUGAGGAAUAUAUGGGUAAUCUGCCCUCGAGUUGGGGAUAACCAGUCGAAAGACUGGCUAAUACCGAAUAAGACCACAGGAUCUGCGGAUCUAGGGGUUAAAGGUUUUUCGCUUGAGGAUGAGCCCAUACGGGAUUAGCUAGUUGGCGAGGUAAUGGCUCACCAAGGCUACGAUCCCUAACUGGUCUUAGAGGAUGAUCAGUCACACGGGAACUGAGACACGGUGAGGCUCCUACGGGAGGCAGCAGUAGGGAAUAUUGCACAAUGGGGGAAACCCUGAUGCAGCGACGCCGCGUGAGUGAUGAAGGCCUUCGGGUCGUAAAGCUCUGUCGUAUGGGACUAACACAAUGAAGGUACCAUGCAAGAAAGGAUCGGCUAACUUCGUGCCAGCCGCCGCCGUAA
rnacentral:rRNA from 1 species